GACGAACGCUGGCGGCGUGCUUAACACAUGCAAGUCGAACGGAAAGGCCCUGCUUUUGUGGGGUGCUCGAGUGGCGAACGGGUGAGUAACACGUGAGUAACCUGCCCUUGACUUUGGGAUAACUUCAGGAAACUGGGGCUAAUACCGGAUAGGAGCUCCUGCUGCAUGGUGGGGGUUGGAAAGUUUCGGCGGUUGGGGAUGGACUCGCGGCUUAUCAGCUUGUUGGUGGGGUAGUGGCUUACCAAGGCUUUGACGGGUAGCCGGCCUGAGAGGGUGACCGGCCACAUUGGGACUGAGAUACGGCCCAGACUCCUACGGGAGGCAGCAGUGGGGAAUAUGGCACAAUGGGCGGAAGCCUGAUGCAGCAACGCCGCGUGCGGGAUGACGGCCUUCGGGCUGUAAACCGCUUUCGCCUGUGACGAAGCGUGAGUGACGGUAAUGGGUAAAGAAGCACCGGCUAACUACGUG
rnacentral:rRNA from 1 species